rnacentral:siRNA from 1 species
AUCAACACACCAGUAAGUGCCACA